CAAGCUAGAAUCACCGCAGGUGUCCUUGCACAGCUGAGCUCUGGCCGCCAGACGCCGUCUUUGCCCGGAACGGGUCCGGGAUGAGAUAAACUUCCCAUCGGGGCCCUUCAUGGGGC